rnacentral:lncRNA from 1 species
CCAGAGAAUUCAUGACAACUCCAUCUUUUCUGUGAAUGUUCUUCCAUGAACAAACCUCGAAUAACCCCCAUGUGUGAAGCUUGUAUGCAUGUAAGUUAAGCUUGUAGAUGUACCUUUGCAUGAAUCAUUACUCAUAAGCUUCCUUGUUAAUCUUGUAGGAGCCUUUUAAGUUUUAAUGAAAUGUUAAGCUUUCAUCUUAUCCCGACAUUUGUCUUCUUCUUCUACUUUGGUUGGAGAUCUUGGGCUAGUGGUGACCUUUUGUGCCACUACAUGAGGAGGGGUUUUUGAGUGUGUCGAGAUCAGCCCAUAUCCAUACUUGUUACAUUUUCAUUUUGUAACUUCUGCCAUAUUUCCAUGUGAUGCAGGCUUUUUUCUCUUCAGAUUUUGGGUUUUUAUGCCACAUGGCAUUUAUUAGUUAAUAGUCACCAUGAAGGAUAGAUGCUGCUAUUUCUUGCUAGCUUCAUGCAGCAAGUGAAGUUGCAGCAUCCAAUCUCCAUCUCACAUAUCAAAAUCAUGACUUUCUUUGGUAAAUUGUCUUUUUUAUUGUGAGGACCCGUGCGGGCGUGUGUUUAGUCCUAUAUCGAUUAUUCGCUGAGUAGAUCUUGGGUACUUAUACAGAAUCAAGGAACCCAAAUAAUAACUUUCAGCUAGCCAUUUUGGGUGAGGUCCUGGGUUGUGACAAAUAAGUAUCAGAGCGGACCCGGCCCAUAACCUAUGUGGACUAGAGAACACUGCAGCAUGAAUCUAUUGGAGCUGACCACGGGCUGAUUGUGGUGUUUGUUAUUAGAUUCGAAUGGAUUUGAACCCUUAGUCUGACGAGGACGUCAGGACUUGAACGGGGGGAGUAUGUGAGGACCCGUGUGGGCGUGUGUUUAGUCCCACGUCGGUUAUCCGCUGGAUAGAUCUUGGGUACUUAUACAAGAUCAAGGAACCCAAAUAAUACCUUCCGGCUAACCAUUUUGGGUGAGAUUCUGGGUUGUUAUAUUUAUAGCCUGAGCCCUGCAUUUAAAACAUAGAUUUGCAUCUUAAAUUUCUAAAUAGCAAUUACUCUUGCAGUCUGUAUGGCCUAUGAGGUUUAUCAAACAACUCACUAUUAAGAAAUUCAUUUGCUGAUUAAUCUUGUAUCUAUGUUGUAACAACCCAAGACCUCACCCAAAAUGGCCAGCCAGAAGGUAUUAUUUGGGUUCCUUGAUCCUGUACAAGUACCCAAGAUCUACUCAGCAAAUAACCGACGUGGGACUAAACACACGCCCGCACGGGUCUUCACAUACUCCCCUCGUUCAAGCCCUAACGUCCUUGUCCUAUGUUCGUGCUGUAUGCGGGUCUUUCCAUUCAACUUCGGAGGGUGGGAUUGAGACAGCUCUAAGGUGGGAAGAGUUCAAAUCAAAGCAUCGGGAUUGACUGCCUUGCUUUCUUCUGCCUCCGUUUGUUCCUUCAGAGAAGACCGACUUCUGCUGCUGCCCGACCCCGCAGGUUAAGGGUUCAAAUCCAUUUAAAUCUAAUCACAAACACCACGAUCGGCUCGUGGUCAGCCCCAAUGGAUCUGUG